AAAGGUUUAGUUUUAAUAAAACAUAAAUUUGUCAAAUUUAAAAUACUAAUAUUAGUAAUCUUUU
rnacentral:tRNA from 1 species